GUGCACCCCAGUGAUUUACGAUACCCAGAACGCAGCAGCCCCUCAUUGAGCUGGGAUGAGUGCAGCCUGAGGUGAAGUCGAAUAUAUAAGACUCAGAAUAUUAUCCUUUCAUGUUUAUACCAUGGCUAACAUUCAACCAUCUCAAGGGGAAAACCUUGGGCUUCAUCUAGCCAAUACCUAUCCUGAUGAAUGAACCUAAAGAUUCUGGUUGAUGGAGAUGAGAUCUGUUAGGAAGGGAGAAGAAUGAAGGUUUUCCUGGAAUCUUAAACAAUGGAAAGGAGAAGAUGGAG
ensembl:lncRNA